ensembl:lncRNA LINC00917 long intergenic non-protein coding RNA 917
GACAGCCCCUCUGAUGAGGAGGCCACUGGGCUGAGACCAAUGAAUGAGAUGGAGCCAGCCACGUGGUGAGCCAGAAGAGGGCAUCACAGGGCUUGAGUCUGGGGGAGCCUGGCUGCCCAGAGGUGGCAGAUGACAUGAAGAAAUAACCAUGUAAGGGCUGGCUGUGUAUGAGAGCAAGCAUUGGGAAGGAUGAAUGCCAACUAUGUUCCAGGAACUUCCACUGUUCUCACACACCCAGGUGAGUGGUGUUCAGGUGGGUGGCACCCAGGUGAGUGACAUCCCAGUUGAGUGGCACCCAGGUGAGUAGCAUCCAGGUGAGUGACACCUAGGUGAGUGACAUUCAGGUUAGUGGCGUCUGUGUGAGUGGCAUCAUCCAGGUGAGUAGCUUCCAGGUGAGUGGCACCCAGGUGAGUGGCAUUCGGGUGAGUGGCAUUAUCCAGGUGACACCUGGGUGAGUGGCAUCCAGGUGAGUGAUAUCAUCCAGGUAAGUGGCACCUAGGUGACAUCCAGGUGAGUGACGACAUCCAGGUGAGUGACAUCAUCCAGGUAAAUGGCACCCAGGUGAGUAGCAUUCAGGUGAGUGACACCCAGGCGAGUGGCAUCCACGUGACUAGCAUUGUCCAGGUGCAUAACACCCAGGUGAGUGGCACCCAGUUGAGUGGUGCCCAAGUGAGUCACAUCCAGGUAAGUGGGGUCCAGGUGGUGGCACCCAGGCGAGUGGUGCCCAGGUGAGUGACAGCCAGGUGAAUGGUGUCCAGGUGAGUGGCAUCACCCAGGUGAAUGGUGUCCAGGUGAGUGGCAUCCAGGUAAGUGGUGUCCAGGUGGUGGCACCCAGGUGAGUGGUGUCCAGGUGAGGGGCAUCACCCAGGUGAAUGGUGUCCAGGUGAGUGGCAUCCAGGUGGGUGGUACCGUCGACGUGACAAUAGCUAAAAAUUAUUGGGCUCAUUGUGGACAGGCACUGUGCCGAGCUUGACAUCACUGAACUCAGUUCAUCCUCGCCAGGAGCUUGUGGGCCGUCCCUAGAUCAGAAUCCGAGGAGAAAGGACUUCCACACGGCAGCCAGCGAGCUGGAGGGCGGCCUCCUGCCACCACCAGGCUCCCUAACCCAGUCCUGGAUAUCUGUGAAAGAAUGAGUGGAUCCCCACAGGCCAGCUAUCCCCAAACACACUCGUUUACACUGAAGCACCAGGAGAUCAGAACCUUCUGGAAUCUUAAUAUGCGAGGACUCGGUGGAGAAGGCGGCACUGAAGAAGAGUCGUCCCUAGGCCAGGCUGGAGGGAAACUCAAGACGGCGGCCUGGCCCUCCUGGGUGGCGGAAGUGGGAGCAGCAGGAGCCCUGGCGGAUCCGGGAGGCCAGAAGAGCGGAAGCUUCCUCCCCUCUCAGGACAGCCACAAGGACUUUCGGGGGUCGUGGCAGCUGCUCCACUUCCAACUUCCAGAUCCCUCUCACUUUCCUCUUCCCACCAACUCCAACCUGGGACCAAGCAGGGGAAAGCAGCUGCAGCCCAGCUUGACGCCCCUGCAAAUGGAGACCUGUGCACCUGGUUGUGAGCAUUUUAAAGGGUGUCACACAGGGCAUACCCUUCGGUGCCUGGAUUCCUUUGGUUUACAUCCAGCAGGAGUUGGCCCUGAGCUCUGAGUCCAGAUCAUUGCUCUUGGCUGAAGCAGCCUGUCUACUCACAAAGAUGAGCAUGGUCCCUGCCACGAGGAAACUCGUGGUCCUGUGGACUGCGGUGUGGAGGGAAAGCUUGGGAUUCUGAGCCUGAUAAUGCACCAUUACAUCCCCACUCACUCGGGCUGUGUGAACCCAGCAAGUCACAGGAUCACUGGGUGGUGAAAGAAAGAAACACUCACAGAAGCGUCUGUGCUUGGAGAGCCAUCUGGUCCGUCAUUGUGACUGCUGCUCUCAUUGCUAUCAUGGGUGUCACCAUUGCCAUCACUCAAGGACUUCUCUCCAGGCCCCGAAGCCAAGCUGGUGCCUGGUUCCUCUGGGUUGGGAGAGGGGCUGGGCAUGGACAGGAGGAGGGAAAAGGGACCUGUGCUAGCAGGUGAUGCCAUCCAAGACAUCUGCAUCCUAAUCCCUGGAACCUGGGAUUCCACUAGGUGCCAUGGCAAAGAGGGAUUAAGGUGGCAGGUGGAGUGAAGGUUGCUAAUCAGCCGACCUUAAAGUAGGGAGAUGAUCCUGAAUGAGACAAAAGAGAGAACCAGUCAUGGUGUCAUGAGAAGGACUCAAAAUGCAACUGCUGACUUUGAAGAUUAAGGGGCUACAAACCAAGGAACGUGGUAGUCUCUGGAAAAGACAAGGAAUAGACGCUGCGUUGGGGCCACCAGAAGGAACCAGCCCUGUCAACACCCUAAUUUUAGCCCAGUGAGGCCUGUGCUGGACUUCUGACCUCCAGAACUGUAAACUAAUAAAUGUGUGUUGUUUCUGCCACUA